GACGAACGCUGGCGGCGUGCUUAACACAUGCAAGUCGAGCGGAGCGGCGGACGGGUGAGUAACACGUGAGUAACCUGCCUUAGACAUUGGGAUAGCCUCGGGAAACCGGGAUUAAUACCAAAUGGUCUAAGAUGGACUCGCGUCCCAUUGGCUAGUUGGUGAGGUAACGGCCCACCCAGUCGACGAUGGGUAGCCGGCCUGAGAGGGGGAACGGACACAUUGGAACUGAGAAACGGGCCAAACUCUACGGGAGGGAGCAGAGGUGAAUAGUGCACAAUGGAGGGAACUCUGAUGCAGCGACGCCGCGUGAACGAAGAAGGCUUUCGAGUCGUAAAGUUCUUUUAUAUGGGAAGCGGUACCAUAAGAAAAAGCCCCGGCUAACUACGUGCCAGCAGCCGCGGUAAUUC
rnacentral:rRNA from 1 species